rnacentral:rRNA from 1 species
CGACCGGCGCACGGGUGAGUAACGCGUAUCCAACCUGCCCUUUACUAUGGGACAGCCCGUCGAAAGGCGGAUUAAUACCGUAUGUUGUCAUGUUGAUGCAUAUUUUCAUGACCAAAGGCUUCGGCCGGUAAAGAAUGGGGAUGCGUCUGAUUAGCUUGCCGGCGGGGUAACGGCCCACCGGGGCGACGAUCAGUAGGGGUUCUGAGAGGAAGGUCCCCCACAUUGGAACUGAGACACGGUCCAAACUCCUACGGAAGGCAGCAG